GAACCAUGCCAUCUUAUUAAGAACUCACUAGUGCAUACACCACAGAACAGGUCUUGUUGUUUAAUAAAGUCCACGAGUAUCAAUAAUUUAUGAAAGAAAAUUUAUAACGAAAAAAUUGUUUUAUAUACUUUUUAAUGGAUUUAUGUUGUAUUUCUUUUGUAGAGGUGUAUUCAACAUCAAACAGUUCAAUGAGCUCAAUUUUAUCAGGAGAUACCACAUUUGGAAACUCAGGCAGUAAAACACGGUCAAAAUCAAGUGAAUUAAAGUUUAGUGGUAGAUUCAAGUCAAUAAAUCAAGUGGAAGUUUUAAGUCAGAAUAACCUUACCCUAUUUUCUGGAAACAAUAAUGCUUCAUCCCAUAUAAAUGAACUUGAUAAACCAUUGUUUGAAGAUUAUAAUACAUAUGACUCGAGUGCAUCUUGUAGCCGCUUUUCCUCUAGCGUCGAUCAAGGAAAAUCAGAGAAAAUCGCUCUUCAAAUACACAGGCCCGUUGACGCUUAAUGUCCGGUUUUAAAAAAGACUGAAUUAUUCCAUAAAGCUUCCGACUCACAUGGCUACAAAAAACGUGGUCGUAAAAAGGGAUCUAGAGGUGUUGAUGCUGUAAUUUCUAAAGAGUCGUCUAGCUUGUGCCAGCAAAUCUUCUUAGGCAGCUCGACAGUAAAUAAAGUCAAGACGACAAAGGAACUUUUUAAUGAAAUCCAGAGCAGAAAAUUAACUGCUUCGCACUCUUCAACAUUUCGUGACAAGACAAAAUGUGCUCGCUUAAAAAGACGAACGUCAUCAUGUUCGGAAGCAUCAAUACUUUCACCAAAUUUAAUGGAAAAUUACUCUGGCAACGUAACUCUAAUGGAUAUUGAUACAUUUUCAAAAAAAAUUCGUGGUAAGAUACAAAGAGGC